UACGGAGGGUGCAAGCGUUGUCCGGAUUUAUUGGGUUUAAAGGGUGCGUAGGCGGCCCUGUAAGUCAGUGGUGAAAUACUGCAGCUUAACUGUAGCAUUGCCAUUGAUACUGUAGGGCUUGAGUACAGAUGAGGUAGGCGGAAUUGAUGGUGUAGCGGUGAAAUGCAUAGAUACCAUCAAGAACACCGAUUGCGAAGGCGGCUUACUAAGCUGUAACUGACGCUGAGGCACGAAAGCGUGGGGAUCGAACAGG
rnacentral:rRNA from 1 species